CGUAAUGCAACGCAUCUUUCAGGGUCUUUCCCGCAUGGGACAAAGACCCGGCGUACAGUUUUUGGAUGGCCUCCGAGCGUUGGUGCUCGGAGGC
rnacentral:snRNA from 1 species